rnacentral:lncRNA from 1 species
GCCACCACGCCCCUCGUCGUGUGCCCCCGCCACGCUAGCAAAGGACCUCGAGGCCUGCUGCCCCGCCUAGCGUACCCACCUCGCUCGAGGUUGGGCGAGCGCAGAAGCAGAGUUCGGGACGACGGAUCGGAAUUCAUUGACUGGUUCUCUCUUUCCUUCCUCUCCCUUGGAUUCGUGGAGGUGGUGGAUCAAUCUUUCCUUCAUGGCGGCGGCGCAGCGAGCUCCGUGAGAUCAGGUGGGCUUGCUUCUGGUAAUCUCAGUUUUGUUAGUAGCAAGUGGUCAAUUUAGUGUUCAUUGGCAACAAAAAGAAGUGAAUAAUAGCAUGCCAUAACUUAGUGGUGCUUCCUGGUCCUGGAUAGAUGAUGUAUUGUACUUCUGCAUAAGCUAGGAAAUCUACAAAUUGAUUAUCUGCGGACUAUUUGUUCAUGCUUCUCGAAGAUCUGAACAUAUACCAUCUUUGUUGAUCGAUUUUAUUACUAACUAGCAGAUUCCUCCUGGUGUUUGGGACGUUUUCGGCAGGCUUGAUUUACUAGCUACGUCCAAG